GCAGGAUGAAGACCAGAUGUUCCACAAGCCAGAUGUUUGAAGUGAACAGCAGCUGUCUCUGAAGCACUACAUCACACUGAGGUGAAGAUCUGUCUACACGUCACACACCACUUCAACAUCUCCACCUGUGAAAAUACAGAGCCACCAUUCAGACCAUCCUUUCGAUUUGGGAAGGUCCUGGGAGCCCUCCGGAAGGCCGUCUGUACUGCAAACCUAUGCAAAUCCCACCCGGGGCUGUGGAAGGCACAGUAUCUGAGAUAUAUCAUUGGCUGGGGGUUGUUGAAACCUGAAGAAAAGACAGU